rnacentral:rRNA from 1 species
CGUAGGGUGCGAGCGUUAAUCGGAAUUACUGGGCGUAAAGCGUGCGCAGGCGGUUUUGUAAGACAGAUGUGAAAUCCCCGGGCUCAACCUGGGACCUGCAUUUGUGACUGCAAGGCUAGAGUACGGUAGAGGGGGAUGGAAUUCCGCGUGUAGCAGUGAAAUGCGUAGAUAUGCGGAGGAACACCGAUGGCGAAGGCAAUCCCCUGGACCUGUACUGACGCUCAUGCACGAAAGCGUGGGGAGCAAACAGGAUUAGAUACCCUGGUAGUCCACGCCCUAAACGAUGUCAACCGGUUGUUGGGUCUUUACUGACUCAGUAACGAAGCUAACGCGUGAAGUUGACCGCCUGGGGAGUACGGCCGCAAGGUUG